rnacentral:rRNA from 1 species
UACGGAGGGUGCAAGCGUUAAUCGGGAUUACUGGGCGUAAAGCGUGCGCAGGCGGUUUGUUAAGUCCGUUGUGAAAGCCCCGAGCUCAACUUGGGAAUUGCAGUGGAUACUGGCAGGCUGGAGUACGGUAGAGGAAGGUGGAAUUCCCGGUGUAGCAGUGAAAUGCGUAGAUAUCGGGAGGAACACCAGUGGCGAAGGCGGCCUUCUGGACCAGUACUGACGCUCAUGCACGAAAGCGUGGGGAGCAAACAGG